GUAAGUGUGUGAAGUAAGAGGUAGUGGGAGUGACGAAAUAAGGACAGGUUGAGCCCAGACUGAACAGUAACAUAAGAAUAAACCUCUUGAGGACUGGUGGAUCCAAUAAAGGAGAAGCUGAGAGAGCUUGUUUAUAGGGAAAGACAGGAACAUCUCUCCUGCUUGCCCUAAAGGCCUGUUAACAUCUCCUCCAUCAAGUUCCUGGUUAGACUCUAGGAGUUCAAUAUCAACAGCUGAAAGGAAGGGAUUCUGAACCUCAUAUGCAGCCACAGUUCUGGAGGCAUUUGUCUCUGGGGAGAGAUCCUCAGCAUCCUGGGUAGACUCCGCAGACCUCUGUGCUUCUGCUCGAGCACAUCCACACUUGGGUACUGUGCAAGUCUAAGAGACAGGACCAAAUUUCUUAACUUCAGGAGACACAAAAAUAAUCAGAAAUGGUGCAUUUGCUGGUGAAGAACAGGAAGAGAUUCUGUCUGGACCCCUCAAAGAGUCUCUGUGUGCACUAACUGGAUUAGUCCUGUCAAAGCCCUCUGAGAAAGGAUUCUGCUUCCUUUCAAAGCUAUGGCUAUAAGGAGGUGACCACCGGCUCCCAUCACUUCCCCACACAUCUGUCUCCACUUUUCCUCAUCUGAGAACGGCCUUGGUCCACCUCUAUCAUCUCUGCGGCCCCUCCUGCUCUAGUUGAUACACCAACCCAAGUCAAAAGAAAGUACGCAAACCAGUAUACACACUCGAGUGUAACAAGUGAAUAAAUGGCAAGAAAACACAGUGUGCCAAACACUGAUCUGGUCGCAGAUUACCGCUCCUUUGGCAGGCAACUAACAAGCCAAGCUACAAAGCUGCUUCUGCUUUUCCCAGGUCCAGGACCAUCAAGUCAUAAGAAGUCAGGGCAAAGGAUAUUUGCCAACACUCUGCCCUCACCCAAACUUGGCCACAGCACAUGGAAGGUCACCUCGUAACAAUUCUUUCUCAACAGUGUCCAAACUUAAUGCCCACAUCAGGCCAGAUCACCAUAAAGCUCUAUGUCUGGGCUGGCUUAUUCCAGUCUGGCUCACAGUCUAAGGCUGGUAGGAGGUCUUUACCUGCAGUGCAUGCAUGGGCAUGAGGGGUCACGAGCAUGGUUCUGGAAACCCUUGAAAUUUUAAGCAAAUUAUGUGCAUCUUCUGGGGAGACAGCUUAUUAUUUUCCUCUGAUUUUCCAAGGAGCCUUUGACUCUAAAGGGUAAGAAUCACAACAGUCGUAAUGGAGUCUUCAGCCUUUAUCAAGGGUCUAUGUGAGAACCAGCAACAAGAAAUACCUUCCUCAGCAUGGCCUGGUGAAAACAAGCAUCAGUGGGCUACUCUGAGGCAUGUAAACCAUGUUGGGCCAUCUCAAUGCAAAGAUCCAAGCGUUUCUUAGCGUACAGAAGAAGGAAGAGUUUUUCUCUCUUGAUAAACUGGAAUCUCACCUGGGUAUAGAAUAGGAUAAUCCGUGUUUCCUUCUUUGCCUUUUACUGCUAGCUUGAACUCUUUUUCAACCUCACCAUGGCUGUCAGGCAGUUCUUUUUUGCAAGCUCUAGACUUUCCUCUGAAAUGCCUUUUCCCCACUUGGCAUCCUCACUCCUCCUGUAAGACCUGGCCCUUGUGUCAGCCUACUCAACACUUCCAGGCAGAGCUGAGCACAUACACACACUUCUGAUAUUAAGCAGAUCGGUUUUCUAGAAUGAUGUGCAUAUGUAUCUAUCUUCCUCACAAGAGCCCAGGAGCGCAUGAAAUCCAGUCUUAUUGGUUUUGGUACCCUCAGCACCUAGCACAGAUCGGUGUGUAAAAACAAACGUUCAAUGAGAGGAUAAAUCAAUCCAUGGAUGAAUGAGCAAAUAAUUAUAGUAUGUGUUUUCCUAAAAUAUUCUUUGACUUUUUCAACAAUGUGUGAGCCUCAGUAAUAACGAUUGACAGGCAGAGCAAACAGAUUCCCCCACAGCCCCCAGUGCCUUCAUUUCCCAGAUGAGGAAAGUGAGAUUGCAACAGACAUCAGCAGAGGAGUCCAGCAGCUCCCCCAGGAGCCACACCCAGGCCAGCCGCCGGCCACUCCGUGGCUGUGUUCUAAGAACACGCAGCACCUCCACAGCACUUGGCAGGUUUUGCCACAGGCAUGCCACUUUGCCUUGCUUUUUGCUCUUUUCCCUCCUUUUGCUGCUCCCUGGUUUAGGGUCCUCCCCACCUGUGCUCAGAGCACAUAGUAGGGAGACAACUGAGCAGGAGAAUUCACAGGAGAGAAAGUAUGGUGGCUGGCAGAUGCCCACUGUAUCCCCAGCAGGGUCUGGAAACCUCAGUCUUCAUGAUCCUUUGUCAUCAACCAUAGUAAGAGUUCCCAUUACUAUGGGAACUUGGUUAAUUCCCAUUAACCAAGUAAUGGGAAACGUGUUGACUCUUUCAACUUAUUUCAACAUCAGGAUGCAGAGAGCUGAUUCAUGCCCAGAAGUGCAUGACCCAUGAGCCUAAAUAGCUGGGUUUACUCUGCUUCUUCUCACUGGAAUUAGUCUGAUAAAAAUCUCAGGGCGGCCAGGCGCAGUGGCUCACGCCCGUAAUACCAACAUUUUGAAAGACCAACAUGGGCUGAUCACGAGGUCAAGAGAUAGAGACCAUCCUGGGCAACAUGGUGAAACCCCGUCUCUACUAAAAACACAAAAAGUAGCUGGGUGUGGUGGCGCGCCUGUAAUAUCAGCUACUCGGGAGGCUGAGGCAGGAUAAUCACUUGAACCCGGGAGGUGGAGGUUGCAAUGAGCCAAGAUCGCGCCACUGCACUCCACCCUGGCGACAGAGCGAGACUCCAUCUCAAAAAAAAAAUCUCAGGACGGCUCCCCUCAACAAGCAACGUCAACAAUUUUUUUUA